CUACGUGCCAGCAGCCGCGGUAAUACGUAGGUCCCGAGCGUUGUCCGGAUUUAUUGGGCGUAAAGCGAGCGCAGGCGGUUAGAUAAGUCUGAAGUUAAAGGCUGUGGCUUAACCAUAGUACGCUUUGGAAACUGUUUAACUUGAGUGCAGAAGGGGAGAGUGGAAUUCCAUGUGUAGCGGUGAAAUGCGUAGAUAUAUGGAGGAACACCGGUGGCGAAAGCGGCUCUCUGGUCUGUAACUGACGCUGAGGCUCGAAAGCGUGGGGAGCGAACAGGAUUAGAUACCCUGGUAGUCCACGCCGUAAACGAUGAGUGCUAGGUGUUAGGCCCUUUCCGGGGCUUAGUGCCGCAGCUAACGCAUUAAGCACUCCGCCUGGGGAGUACGACCGCAAGGUUGAAACUCAAAGGAAUUGACGGGGGCCCGCACAAGCGGUGGAGCAUGUGGUUUAAUUCGAAGCAACGCGAAGAACCUUACCAGGUCUUGACAUCCCGAUGCCCGCUCUAGAGAUAGAGUUUUA
rnacentral:rRNA from 1 species